rnacentral:rRNA from 1 species
GAUGAACGCUGGCGGCGUGCCUAAUACAUGCAAGUCGAGCGAACAGACGAGGCGCUUGCUCCUCUGACGUUAGCGGCGGACGGGUGUGUCACACGUGGAUCACCUCCCUAUCAUACUGGGAUCACUUCGGAACACCGGAUCUUAUCCCGGAUAAUCUCUUGAUCCGCAUGGUUCAAUAGUGAAAGUCGGCUUUGCUGUCACUUAUCGCUGGUUCCGGGCCGCUUUAGCUAGUUGGUAAGUUAACGGCUUAUCACGGCAACGAUGCGUAGCCGAACUGAGAGGUGGAUCGGCGACACUGGAACGGAGACACGGUCCAGACUCCUACGGGAGGCAGCAGUAGGCAACCUGACGCAAUGGGCGAAAGCCUGACGGAGCAACGCCGCGUGAGAGAUAAAGGUCUUCGGAGCGUAAAACUCGGUUAUGAGGGAAGAACAAAUGUGGAAGGAACUAUGCACGGCGUGACGGUACCUAAUCAGAAAGCCACGGCUAACUACGUG